rnacentral:rRNA from 1 species
GAUGAACGCUGGCGGCGUGCCUAAUACAUGCAAGUCGAGCGAACAGACGAGGAGCUUGCUCCUCUGACGUUAGCGGCGGACGGGUGAGUAACACGUGGAUAACCUACCUAUAAGACUUGGAUAACUUCGGGAAACCGUAGCUAAUACCGGAUAAUAUAUUGAACCGCAUGGGUCAAUAGUGAAAGACGGUUUUGCUGUCACUUAUAGAUGGAUCCGCGCCGCAGUAGCUAGUUGGUAAGGUAACGGCUUACCAAGGCAACGAUGCGUAGACGACCUGAGAGGGUGAUCGGCCACACUGGAACUGAGACAAGGUCCAGACUCCUACGCGAGGCAGCAGUAGGGAAUCUUCCGCAGUGGGCGAAAGCCUGACGGAGCAACGCCGCGUGAGUGAUGAAGGUCUUCGGAUCGUAAAACUCUGUUAUUAGGGAAGAACAAAUGUGUAAGUAACUAUGCACGUCUUGACGGUACCUAAUCAGAAAGCCACGGCUAACUACGUG